AACGUAGGUGGCGAGCGUUAUCCGGAUUCAUUGGGCGUAAAGAGCUUGUAGGCGGCGUCAUAAGUUGGACGUGAAAACUCCGGGCUUAACUUGGAGAGGCCGUUCAAUACUGUGAGGCUGGAGGGUGUCAGAGGGAAGUAGAAUUCCUGGUGUAGCAGUGAAAUGCGUAGAUAUCAGGAGGAAUACCCGUGGCGAAGGCGGCUUCCUGGGACACAUCUGACGCUGAGAAGCGAAAGCUAGGGGAGCAAACGGG
rnacentral:rRNA from 1 species